UCUCACAUCCCAUCAGUAAAGUCUGUUCAAUGAUUUCAUUUACAGAUUCACUUCAUCCACACAAUCAGUGUGUUUGACUCUCAGAUAUAUAAAAGAGAAUAAUGAAUAAUCUCCUUAUUGAUUAUGAUCAGGAUAAACAGAUAAAUGUGAUUAUAGAUUUCUUUACAAAGAGA